rnacentral:rRNA from 1 species
GAUGAACGCUGGCGGCGUGCCUAAUACAUGCAAGUCGAGCGAACAGACGAGGAGCUUGCUCCUCUGACGUUAGCGGCGGACGGGUGAGUAACACGUGGAUAACCUACCUAUAAGACUGGGAUAACUUCGGGAAACCGGCGCUAAUACCGGAUAAUAUAUUGAACCGCAUGGUUCAAUAGUGAAAGACGGUUUUGCUGUCACUUAUAGAUGGAUCCGCGCCGCAUUAGCUAGUUGGUAAGGUAACGGCUUACCAAGGCAACGAUGCGUAGCCGACCUGAGAGGGUGAUCGGCCACACUGGAACUGAGACACGGUCCAGACUCCUACGGGAGGCAGCAGUAGGGAAUCUUCCGCAAUGGGCGGAAGCCUGACGGAGCAACGCCGCGUGAGUGAUGAAGGUCUUCGGAUCGUAAAACUCUGUUAUUAGGGAAGAACAAAUGUGUAAGUAACUAUGCACGUCUUGACGGUACCUAAUCAGAAAGCCACGGCUAACUACGUG